rnacentral:rRNA from 1 species
AGAAUCAACGCUGGCGGCGUGCCUAACACAUGCAAGUCGCACGAGAAAGGGUAGCAAUACCUGAGUAAAGUAGCGCACGGGUGAGUAACACGUGAAUUAUCUACCUCCGAGUGGGGAAUAACUGAGAGAAAUCUUAGCUAAUACCGCAUAACACUUACGAGUCAAAGCAGCAAUGCGCUUGGAGAGGAGUUCGCGGCCGAUUAGUUAGUUGGCGGGGUAAUGGCCCACCAAGACGAUGAUCGGUA